CUCCUACGGGAGGCAGCAGUGAGGAAUAUUGGUCAAUGGGCGGAACCCUGAACCAGCCAAGUAGCGUGAGGGAAGACGUGCCCUACGGGUUGUAAACCUCUUUUGUUUGGGAAUAAAGUGCGGGACGCGUCCCGCAUUGCAUGUACCAUUUGAAUAAGGACCCGGCUAAUUCCGUGUCCAAGCAGCCGCGGUAAUACGGAAGGUCCGGGCGUUAUCCGGAUUUAUUGGGUUUAAAGGGAACGCAGCCGUGGGUUAAGCGUGUCGUGAAAUUCCGUCGCUCAACGGCGGACGUGCGGCGCGAACUGGUCCACUUGAGUACGCGGGACGUUGGCGGAAUUCGUGGUGUAGCGGUGAAAUGCUUAGAUAUCACGAAGAACUCCGAUUGCGAAGGCAGCUGUCGGUAGCGCAACUGACGCUGAGGAUCGAAAGUGCGGGUAUCGAACAGGAUUAGAUACCCUGGUAGACCGCACGGUAAACGAUGGAUGCCCGCUAUUCGCCCACCUGGGAGAGUGGCAAUGCGAAAGCGUUAAGCAUCCCACCUGGGGAGUACGCCGGCAACGGUGAAACUCAAAGGAAUUGACGGGGGCCCGCACAAGCGGAGGAACAUGUGGUUUAAUUCGAUGAUACGCGAGGAACCUUACCCGGGCUUGAAUUGCAGAGGAAGGAUUUAGAGAUAAUGACGCUUCGGGGCUUCUGUGAAGGUGCUGCAUGGUUGUCGUCAGCUCGUGCCGUGAGGUGUCGGCUUAAGUGCCAUAACGAGCGCAACCCCUCUCCGUAGUUGCCAUCGGGUGAUGCCGGGCACUCUGCGGACACUGCCACCGUAAGGUGUGAGGAAGGUGGGGAUGACGUCAAAUCAGCACGGCCCUUACGUCCGGGGCUACACACGUGUUACAAUGGGGCAUACAGAGCGCCGGCGGCCGGUAACGUCCGUCCAAUCGCGAAAGUGUCCCCCAGUUCGGACUGGGGUCUGCAACCCGACCCCACGAAGCUGGAUUCGCUAGUAAUCGCGCAUCAGCCAUGGCGCGGUGAAUACGUUCCCGGGCCUUGUACACACCGC
rnacentral:rRNA from 1 species